rnacentral:sRNA from 1 species
UUCUAGAAUGGUUAGCCAGGUACAUAGUUCUUGAACACAUGUCACUAUUUUUCAACCGCUAGAUUCCAAGUACAAUAUCUCAUUGACACGGCAUUACAAGAUUAUCAUGGAUGGCACAGGAGUUGACAUUACACAUUGCUUUGCUUAUACAGCUUCGUGUCCAGCACUUGCUUCCCGCACAUUGCACAUACACCUUUUGAAUAUGCACAGGUGUGGCAGUACUUGGCGUCCUGGUGGACCUGCUGCUUGCAGAUUACACAUUUAGUGUUUCCAUAUGGAGGAUCGACCUGUUCUUCUUGGAGAGGAGCUUGUUCUCGUUGAUCUUGCGGCCGCCGCUCUCGUUGGUGUUGCUGGCCCCCUCCUUCCACUUGUCCGGCACGAUCACCUUCCCCAGCUUC